GACGAACGCUGGCGGCGUGCUUAACACAUGCAAGUCGAACGAAGUGGCGAACGGGUGAGUAACGCGUAAUCAACCUGCCCUUCAGAGGGGGACAACAGUUGGAAACGACUGCUAAUACCGCAUACUGAAGGAGGGGAUUGCGUCUGAUUAGCUAGUUGGUGAGGUAACGGCUCACCAAGGCCACGAUGCAUAGCCGACCUGAGAGGGUGAGCGGCCACACUGGGACUGAGACACGGUCCAAACUCCUACGGGAGGCAGCAGUAGGGAAUAUUGCGCAAUGGGGGAAACCCUGACGCAGCAACGCCGCGUGGAGGAUGACACUUUUCGGAGCGUAAACUCCUUUUGUUAGGGAAGCGGUACCUAACGAAUAAGCACCGGCUAACUCCGUGCCAGCCGCCGCGGUAAUAC
rnacentral:rRNA from 1 species